rnacentral:lncRNA from 1 species
CAUUUACUACAUUAACAAUCCAAUGGUUUUCAAUACAAGUUCUAAACAAUAAACAUUCAAUUUCAAACCUAACAUUAAAAUCCCAACGCCAUUUCACUUACACAUUCAAAUUCUAAUUCCAUUCAUUCCAAGUGCAUCGUAAUACAACUCUAAUUCCAUUCUAAUUCCAAAUACAUUUGCAUUUGAUUUUCGUAAGACACAAAUUGCAUUACAACACUUUAUGCCAAUACAUAAACCAUAAUACAUUCAAAACAAUGCCAAUCCAUCUCAAGAGUCACAAAAAUUAAACUAGGGAGACUAAAUUCAAGUAAGUCCUAACAUGCUAAAAUAAUUUCCAAGACAUCCACCGUCUUCAUGCCAUUGUCAUUCAAAGACCAAGAGGAACCAUAUUGUAAGAUCCAUAUUCAUUCCAAAUCAUAGCAUAUAUUCAUUCAUUUCAAACCGACAUCAAACAUGACCAAAACUCACAACACUCAUUGUCACAUUCAUAGCUUAUUUCAUAGCGUUAGUCAAUUAGCAGUUUGACGAUGUAAUAAAUCAUGGUUGGAGCAAUCAAAAUAGUUAUCUUUCUGAUAUAAUUUUCAUGUAAUUUCAUUCAACCUGUCCUACAUCACAUAAAGUAGAAGUCCAACAUAAAACAUACCAUUAAAUCCACCACUCGUGAGAUGUUUAGUGGAUCUGAGAUGCUUCCAGAACCACCACCUGCUACAAACCCUACAAACUUGUGACAUAAUGAACUUCAACCUAUAAAGUUUUAUAACAGGGUAAAACAACUUCUGACCUAUACAAGUACCUUAACAGAAAACCAGUCUCAUUUUACAUGCUAACUUCGCCAUUAUAACAACCAAUGAGCAUCACCUUUAACCAAACCACAUUUAAUCACUCAAAUAACAACAGUAGGUCGAGCCCCGGACCGUUUGGACAACAAACCUUGGCAAUGCGUAAACCAACUCAAUCAAACACGGUAAACAACAACAUUAAAUGUCUUCAAGUAUCAUUACCCCUGCAGCAAAUAACCAUUUCAAUAACAUUAUGUUUUCACUUAUAAUGGUUAACAAAAAUAUUGUGCUAGCAAAAUAGAACCAACCUAACUAAUUGAACAUAUUACUUACUAAUUUAAAACAAUUAACUUUAGUUCACAAUUUCCUAACAGUAUAACAUCUUUACCAAAUUAACUCAUUACAGAAUUAUCCAAAAACUCUAACCGAAAUUGAGUUUGACCAAUUCAUAACAUCCAUAACAGAAUUCCACAACCAACUUAACUAACAUUCCCUAACUCCUCUAACUGAAAUCCAUAAUAGAAUUCCACAACCAACUUAACUAACAUUCCCAAACUCCUCUAGCUGAAAUCCAUAACAGAAUGAGAAGGAAAAGAAGUUCAGAAAUCUAUAAAAGCAUGCCUUGCUCCUUCAUUUUCAUUUUCAGUUCAAAAUCAUUCUUCUCCCAUUCUUCACUUCACCAUUCUUCAAUACUUCUUCUCUUCCCUCCAAUCUUCUUCUCUCCAGUCUUCACUCUCCUCUUCAUCUUGCAAAUACGCUUUUCAUUCUCCAUUUUCACUCCACUCUCAACAACACUUUUCACUGACUCCUGAGUCAAAACAGAAGAUGUAACAUAAUUUCGGCAUCACUGAGUUGAACCGAAAAAGAAAACCGAAAACCUUACUCAUUCUUAUUUUCCGUUCACAGAACGUGCAUCAGAACGAAGAAACGCAACAAUCAUACGUUGCCAUCUCCCUGCAAAAAGCUUGCUGAACUCUUCCUCUCAACGUCUCGAAUGCCCUCACGCUCUCCGAUUUCAUCUCCAGUACACAGGCAAGAACACAAUAGCAAGGCAUUAAAGCGAAGCAAGGAAGAGAAUAAUGAACGAUUCAAGGAAAAUCAAGCAGAAACUAAACGGAAGUGCGGUACCUGGUGAGUUUUCGAUUCGACGUUCUUCACUUUCUUCUUCUGUUCGUGUGCAUAGAAGAGUGAACUGAUUCGAUAAAUUUCUGAAUCCGUGAAUCGUGACGAUGAUGAAUAAACAUGGUGAAUGAUGAGCGAAGAGGGAAAACAAGAUGCUUCGUUAUGAAGAACAUGGAGAUUCCAAAUCGGUGAGCUUAAGGUUGAACGUGAACGAGAUACGGCGUCGAUGUUGGAUCGGAAGCGUUGCUCCAAUGCCAUAAAACGCAUUGAAGCGCCCAAAAUAAGGAAUGUGUGAGCGUGGAUGACGGAUCCUGGAUGUGAGUCGCAUGAUGUUGAUUGCGGUUCGAGCAAACUGGACUCUGCUAUUGAGAGGCGGUGGCGCCAUUGUUUGAAGUCGAGCGUGAUGGAGGAUGUGGCGGAGUGUCGUCGGCGGCCAAUGAGGGUCACUUUCUGUUUGCGAUCGACCGUCCCUUUCUUUGCUUUU